rnacentral:rRNA from 1 species
GACAGAGGGUGCAAACGUUGUUCGGAAUUACUGGGCGUAAAGCGCGUGUAGGCGGCCCCUGCAAGUCGGGUGUGAAAUCCCACGGCUCAACCGUGGAAGUGCACUCGAAACUGCAGGGCUAGAGUCCUGGAGAGGAAGGUGGAAUGCUUGGUGUAGAGGUGAAAUUCGUAGAUAUCGUAAGGAAGACCAGUGGCGAAGGCGGGUCUCUGGAC